AAACAUGCUUGUCUAUCAAUCAAUCUAUCUCUAAAAAUUUUCCAUCGACGACACUAACUAAAUUUGGUGCGCACAAUGUAUCUGCACAUGUAUCAACAGACGUGCCCCGCGAUGCAAAUUUGCAUCUGGUUGCGCAACCGCGCUCUCGGACAUGGUCGCAAAAAUACAGUCAUACUAUAUCGAUCGAUGUGUAAUCGAUGAAUCUAAUAAUGGCCUGAGCCGCUAUUAUUCAAGAUCGACGCUUGUGCAGCACGCGGUCAAAAUCCACUCGUGAAAUCAACACGGUUGAGAAAAGAUAUAUAUUCCCCUUUACAAACUGGCGAAACGUUUCGUUGGUGGUAGGCGGCCGAGCGUGGGUCUCGGUGGCCUCUCUACCGCGAUUUAAAUAUUUAACUCCGCUUAAACGUGAGCGAGAGCCAACCGUUACUCGCGCGAGCGAUAAUUUUCAUCCGCGGGUAAAACUCGCUUGGGAAAAUCGACCGACCGCGUGAAUCAUCCUCCCACCUGAUUUCCAAUCUAGCUGAUGAGAACCAAUGGGAAAAUUUCAUUGGCACUCUUGGUUUUGCAUUUGUUAGGUUAGGUAAUACUAGUUCUCUGCCUAUUUAAUUGGAAUCUUAUUUUUUUAUUUGUGUAGUGAUUAGAUAAUCAUUUACCUUGUUAUUAUUAUAUUAUCGUUACGAGCAGUAAUAGAUAAAGUGUGCGAAGCCAAAUUUGUAAUACUACUGGCCUACUGGCUGUAAAUUAAGAAGUAAGAAAAGAAGAUCACAUUUCCAAUUUUCGACGAUAACGAGGAGUCAAAAAUCAUACGUCAUAACUGAAAGUAAAAAUGUAUGUAAACGGUUUGAAAAGCGAAAAUGCACAGAUACAUUGCAAACAUACAUAAAUUGAAUUGAACUGAUAUAAAAUAAAGAUGUUACGUUCGAAGAUAAAUUUUACGAUUGAAAAUAAUCGUAUUAUUAUUUAAAGUAUAUAUUAUAUAUAUUUAAUAAUAAAAAUUACGUGAAAUUGUCACGUGACUCGUAAAUCUACACUUCGGGAGAAAUCGGAAAAAUUCGGAUAGGAUCGGUUGGAAUCUCGAAGUACAUGGUUGAUGAUUUCGUGUCAAUUCGGCAAUAAUUGAAUGCAGUAGUCUCUAUAAUAUUAAUUUUAUUAUAAAAUUAAAUUUUUCAAUAUUCAAUCUUUAAAUAACCUAUAUCAUUUAAAAGAUUAUCUAACGGAAGAAGACUAGCAAUUGUCACAAAGUAUAAUUCAUCUACCCACAAUUACUUGAGUUUAAAUGGAUUGUUCUCUCUAGGGAUGAAUUAUGUUCCUCAUUAAAACGCCUGUUGAAAAGAUUAUAUAAAAUCAAGUUGGAAAGGUAAAAUACUAAUAUUUUUUUCUCGAAAUCUUUUAAAAAAUAAGAUCUUGUAAACAAAACAAGUACAAUUGAAAUAAUUUUAAUUUUAUGAUACAUUUAUAAUGCCUUCAUUUACAUACACAUGGUUCUCUCUAAUAUGUUUUAUACGAUAAAAUUUAAGUGAUUUGACCUUAUAACAAGAAUAAAUUAUUAAUGCUUCCCAUUUAAAAUAGGGAAUCGCAGUAAUUUAACCUGAAGCUUGUACAUCUAAUAUUGUAUAUAUCUUAAAUUUCAACCUUUCUAUUGUCGAUAAUUGCUGAUGUAUUAUUCAUUUGUUCCAAUCUCGCGCCGGUAUUAACGAGCGAACUAUCGACAAAGUGGGCAUUAAAUAUGUAAAGCUUUUCAACUUUAA